AUCAAGAAAAAUAUAUGGAAAAAUUUCAAAAAACCCUCCUGUAGUUUCGUAGUUUCUCACUUUGCCCUCCUGUGGUUUCUUUUUUCUCUUUUUCUUAUCAAUUUCAUUAUUUUUUUUCUUAAAUCAGUGAUAAAGUUAAAAUUAAAGGGUACUAAAAUGAAUAUUUGAUAAAUCUAGAUGGGUAUCUGAAGUUUUUUAUAUAUAAUUUAAUGAAAUAUUAACGAAAAAGCUACCGAAAAGGUAAAAACAAAAUCAUAGGGGGGCAAUUUGAUACAUUUUAAACUACGGGAGCAAAGUGGGAAACUAUGAAACCACAGGGGAGUGUUUUGAAAUUUUUUUUAAUAAUAAUAAUAAUAAUAAUCAUAACAAAUAUAGUUUUUUUUUGCGGUAAAUCCCA
rnacentral:lncRNA from 1 species